rnacentral:lncRNA from 1 species
AGAGCUCUAUGGUUGAGUUUUGGUGAUUGUAAGAAGCUUAAGAAAGGUGGCAGGAGUAUUUUCGGACGCUCAGAAUCCAGAGAAACUUAAGCGAACAUUAUUUAUUUUUCUAAGUAAAACAAGUGUUUUGAAAUACAAUAUUGCGCCCAGUCCCGUAAGAAUGCAUUAUGGCAUUUCACUGUUAGGCAUGCAUAAAUUCAUUUUAGGACAUGCAUCAUACAUUGUGCAUUGCAACCCUUGGUGAUAGGGGGCAUCAUCACCCUGGCGCGCGAUAUUGUAGAAUUUUAUAUAAAGAAAAAUGGCUAGAGAUUUUACGAUUUUGUAGAAGUAUUUUUCAAGAUAAUAAAGUUUUUUAUCAGUGAUGAUUAUAAAGUAAAUAAAUAAGUAAAUUUUUUCAAAGUAAAUAGUGUUAGCUUGAGAAUUCUCUGGAUGACGAGUUGAGGUGCUGAGAGAGUAAGUCUGUCGAGCUGUAGGCCCCAUGUUAGAUAAUAAAGGACGCUUUUGGAUUUCAGUCAAGGAGGAAUCUUGUGUCAGGAUGGCAUGGUUGUGUCGGUUGAUGCGAUCAGAUGGAUGUUAUGUCGAGGAUGAUGUGAUGUAGAUGUUAAGGAUUUUUUCUGUACGUGCAAGGGGCGCGUCAUUAGGAAGGAAACUUGGUGAGUGGAUUUUUGGCAGGAUCAGAAUUGGCCCUUCUUGUGUGGAGACCCUUGGUUUUGUCGGCAGGUUGGUGAGGUGGCAUGUAAGUUGG